ACCUAUAUUUUACUUAUUACAUCCUUUUGUAAUAACUCGAUUCAUACAACAAUAAGACUUUGAGGCUGUGGGAUAGACAUAUACACGGUUGAACAGCCUGCAAAAGAAAGGCACAAAGGUUUGGGAGAAGCGAUGAGUAGAUAUCCACAAAGUACAAGCUAUCAUCAUCUACCAUUCAUACAAUCAGCACUCCAUUCAUUCAAAUUCAUAUAAAUAAAAAUCUCUACAGUAAUAAACAACCAAUCUUACAUAGAUACUCCACUUCCAACAAUUAUAUAUGACACACACAUUCUUGAAUUAUUCAAAGCAGACGAGAAAAAUGCAUGACUCUAAUUCUAGCGUAGAAUGUUCUUAUAUAUGGUAAAUUUUAUAUUUGGUGUAAAGCAUAUAUAGGGCGAAGAUAUUAAAUAAUGAAGCUCUAGCCACAUGUAGCUUGUUUGUUUCAUUGCUUUGUUGCGCGAUCAAAGCAUCAAACAGUAUAAUAUAUUCCUUCCAUUUGUGAUAAGCAUGUAAUUACGAGAUGUGCACCAGUCAAGUUUACUUAAAUUUGACUAAAUUUAUAAUAAAUAUUAUUAAUAUUUAUGUCUUUAAAUAUUUUUCUUCGCGGGGUCGGAACCCAAGUUAUUAGAACCGGACCGGAGAUCGAACCGGCGAGGCCGUCGGUUCACUGGUUCACUGGUCCAACCGUUUCAAACCAGUUGAACCGCCGGUUCAAUUAUUUUGGACCGGACAAAUCGAACCGGUGACAAAUACUUCGAACCGGUAUAUAUAUAAAUAAUUAUAUAUAUGCUAUAAUUAAUAAUUGGUAGAUGAUAAAUAACAUAAAUUUCAAUGGACAACUAUAAGGUUCAUAAAUAUGUAUAUAUAGAAUGACAUGUUCAUAAUUUAAAACAUCAAGUGCCUGAUGACAAUAACAUAACUUUCAUCUUCAUACAUAAUUCAUACUUACAUCAUAGAAAUAUAGAAAAUAUAAAAUCACAAGCUCACAGUCACAGAGUUACUGGAACACAACCUCGCAAACAAUAAGCUUAUUGAAUAUGUCAUUAUCAGUGUAUUCGGCAUUGACACUAAUAGGGAGCCGAAUAUAUCACAUUAAUAAAAAACAAAAUAAUGCAAUUACUAGCCAUUAGCAGUGGAAUUACCAGCCAUUAGUUUAAGAUUGAGAACUGAAACUAGCUCACCAUUAGCAACCAAUGUCUCGUGUCUGGCUCUGAACUCUAGAUGCAGAAGCUUGAAGAAGAAUCGGAGCAGCAGCACACAACAGUAUGGAUCUCGAUCCGUCGGCCGCUCCUUAGCCUUGCCUGCUGCUGCAGGAAUCGCCCGCUGCUGC
rnacentral:lncRNA from 1 species